rnacentral:lncRNA from 1 species
AGUGUUUGGUUCCAUUUGGAACUUUGCUUUGGACUGACCAAACUGAAGUGGGUUACCAGGACCACCAGGUCCACCCAUUCCACCACCAGAUCGUCUCGAAAGAAAGAACAAACCACCGAUCAAAAGCAGUGGGAAAGCAAGAUUACCAAUCAAGUUGAAUAACACAGAACCUUGAUCUUCCUGAGCAUUAUGAGCUGCAAAAUCAAUAUUCUUAGCCCUAAGCUUCUGGAGAAGCUCCUG